AUUGAACGCUGGCGGCAGGCCUAACACAUGCAAGUCGAGCGAGCGGCGGACGGGUGAGUAAUGUCUGGGAAACUGCCUGAUGGAGGGGGAUAACUACUGGAAACGGUAGCUAAUACCGCAUACCAUCAGAUGUGCCCAGAUGGGAUUAGCUGGUAGGGGGGGUAACGGCGCCCCUAGGCGACGAUCCCUAGCUGGUCUGAGAGGAUGAACAGCCACACUGGAACUGAGCCACGUUCCAGACGCCUACGGGAGGCAGCAGUGGGGAAUAUUGCACAAUGGGCGCAAGCCUGAUGCAGCCAUGCCGCGUGUGUGAAGAAGGCCUUCGGGUUGUAAAGCCCUUUCAGCGGGGAGGCGUUACCCGCAGAAGAAGCACCGGCUAACUCCGUGCCAGCGGCCGCGGAAAUCC
rnacentral:rRNA from 1 species